UACGUAGGGUGCGAGCGUUUGUCCGGAAUUAUUGGGCGUAAAGAGCUUGUAGGCGGUUUGUCGCGUCUGCUGUGAAAACCCGAGGCUCAACCUCGGGCCUGCAGUGGGUACGGGCAGACUAGAGUGCGGUAGGGGAGAUUGGAAUUCCUGGUGUAGCGGUGGAAUGCGCAAAUAUCAGGAGGAACACCAAUGGCGAAGGCAGAUCUCUGGGCCGUAACUGACGCUGAGGAGCGAAAGCAUGGGGAGCGAACAGG
rnacentral:rRNA from 1 species